rnacentral:rRNA from 17 species
GAAUGGAUUGGCUUGUUUAAACGACGAGGAACGCCGCUAUCGGCAACGCCAAGAAGUGCAGACAAUCGAGAAUCGUUUGUUAGUGAACGA